rnacentral:rRNA from 1 species
CAGCAGCCGCGGGAAUACGUAGGGUGCGAGUGUUAAUCGGAAUUACUGGGCGUAAAGCGUGCGCAGGCGGUUUUGUAAGACAGGCGUGAAAUCCCCGGGCUCAACCUGGGAAUGGCGCUUGUGACUGCAAAGCUAGAGUGCGGCAGAGGGGGAUGGAAUUCCGCGUGUAGCAGUGAAAUGCGUAGAUAUGCGGAGGAACACCGAUGGAGAAGGCAAUCCCCUGGGCCUGCACUGACGCUCAUGCACGAAAGCGUGGGGAGCAAACAGGAUUAGAUACCCCUGUAGUCCCUGUCUCUUAUAC